rnacentral:snRNA from 1 species
GGAUGUAAGGGUGAUCUGGCUGGGACAUAUGUCACUUCACUAAUCAACAGGGUUGAUUUGGCUGAUCUGGCUGGCUAGGCAGAUGACUUCUUCCUCCCUCAACACUUCAUGUGCACCCCCCAUCAAAGCUGCACUUUCCAUCAAAGAGGACAACCUUCUCCUAAUGGAGGAGCACUGGUCUUCGGUCAAGGGUAUACGAGUAGCUUCACUGCCCUGCUAGAAAUUCCAAACAAGCUCUCAAAAUGGAUACCAGUAUUUAGGGAAGGCUUGUUCAAAUUCAGGUUUCUGAGAAGCUAAUGGCACCAGUAUGUACUU